rnacentral:lncRNA from 1 species
CAUAUGGAGGUUCUCAUGCUAGGGGUCGAAUCGGAGCUGUAGCCUCUGGCCUACGCCAGAUCCACAGCAACGCAGGAUCCGAGCCGCGUCUGCAACCUACACCACAGCUCACAGCAACGCCGGAUCCUUAACCCACUGAGCAAGGGCAGGGAUCGAACCCGCAACCUCAUGGUUCCUAGUCGGAUUCGUUAACCACUGCGCCACGACAGGAACUCCCGAUAUAUUACCUUUAUUUUUAAAUCUGAAAUGUUUGUGAAUUUUAAAAAAAGUUUCAGUUGAAGUGACAUAAACUGAAUUCAGGUAAAGUUUGGAUGAAUUAAAUAAAAAAAUUUUUAUAUAUAGUUUACAUAAAGAGAAUAUAGGACAUACAUAAUCCAGGGGACAAUGUCACCCAUACAGGGACAGCAAUUGGGUUUGGGGGGCUGUGGAAGUCUUGAACAUUACAGAGAUCCAUGCCUCUACAAACCUCAAUGCAAUGCAACAAAAUAUUUUACCUUAGUUAUAUAACUUCUCUAGUCAGUUAGAAUUAUAUUUAGCAUAAUUUUUCUCCUUGGGCAGCGUUAACAAAGGAAAAAAAUGGUUGAAAAUAGACAUGUGGAAAACAUACAUGCAAUAUAUAAAUUCUAAGUUCUCUCUUCCUUUUAUCAAGCCAAUCAAUGAAUUUAGAAAAACCAACCGAAUGAUAUUUCAAAAGUGCAAUAAAUUAGGGCAAUUGGCACCAAUCUUUGGAACAGGCACCCAUUUCUUAUUAUCUCUUAAGCAACAUUUCAACAUAAAUGCAACUGAUUAAAUAUUUUUAUUAGUUCCUCAUCAAGUUCUCUUCUGAACCCAUUCUUCAUAACGUCUUCUCCUAAAGGCUCAUUACCUAUCACUAAUGGACCCAUAUUAUUUUUCAAAACAAACUGAAAAAUGGACUCUCUGUGGCUCAAAGCUUGAAACAAAUAUUGAGAAAUCAAUUUCUUGGCAACUUCAACUAGCCAAAGCAUCUUUUCUCUUUGUCCAAUGUGGCAGCAGCGGACUACUGAGAGAUAUCUGUCCAUGAGCACAUUCUGAGAACAGGCUACAUACACUCUUGGUUCAUAUACACUCAGAACAAAGUAAGUUUCUCAUCUUGUGGAAUGUGAUUAGAAAAGCAAACUGUAGAGAGUUUCUAAGUCAAUCUGUUCUUAAUAGAGGGAGGGGAAAAGAAAGAGAUGUGAAAAAGUACGUAAUUAUACAAUGACUUAAGAACAGCUGUUUAAGGAAUGAUUCAAGAGUAUACUCUGGAUUAACAGUUAAAAACUGCGUUUUAUCUUCAGGUUUAUUCCACCCAAAGAAACUCAAUUGUCUAAAAAUAGAGUGUGCUGAUAAUCAAAAAGUUUGCACAUAUCCAAGUUCUCAGCUUACAAAAUAAAACAUAAAAGGUAUCUCAGACAAUUAUCAAUACAUCAAAAGCUUCAUUUUUCCUAGAAGAAUUUAAGAGCACACUGUAAAGUAUAACAGCUUUCAUUUUAAAUUAAUAUGAAUAUGAGUAAGGAAAUUCUCCUGUAAAUAUUUUUUGUUUCGAACAAAAUGAUGAUUUCUAAAAGUCAUUAAAUCCUGUUAUAACUAGAAACUGAUAGAUACUCUUAAAUAAAUCGAUAUUUUCAAAAAAUUAGCUAUCUUAUUAAUAAAUAUCAUAUUUUAAGAAAUAUUUCUGGGGGAAAAUAAUAUUCCCUAUCUUUUAAAAAUAGGAAAGAAUACUUAUGUUGGACCUUGCAUUAUACUAAAUUUCCCCUUUAUUGCCCCUAAAUACGCCCCACAAAAAAAACCUAGGGCCACUUCUAGAAUAAUGGAGUCAAAACUUCUGGAAAUCCACUAUGCAAUAAAAGCAAAAAAGUUAUGGCAAAAAUGAUUAAGAUCAACUUUUUGAUAAUUUUGUUUGUUUGUUUGUUUUGUCUUUUUGCUAUUUCUUGGGCUGCUCCUGUGGCAUAUGGAGCCCUAAAAAGACAAAAAACAAUAAAUAAAUAAAUAAAUAAAUAAGAAAGAAAUCUAGUUCUAUUAACAGAUGCAAUAUCUUGCAUACAGAAAAUCCUACAGAAUACACACACAAACACACACACAAUUAGAACUAACAAAUUCAUUCAGCAAGGUUCCAGGCUAUAAAUCAAUAUAUGAAAAUGAACUGUAUUUAUACACACUAGCUAUAAGCAAUCUGAAAUGAAAUUAAGAAAAAAAUUCAACUCGCAAUAACAAAAUGCUUCAGAAUAAAUUUAACAGGAGAAGUGCAAAAGCUUAUGCAUUAGAAGUAAUAAAACAUCCACUGCACAAAACUAAAGAAACCUGAAUAAAUGGAGAGGUGAUACCCCAUGUCCAAUGGGUCAGAAGGCUUAAUAUUAUAAAGAUGCCAAUAUUCCCCAAAUUGAACGAACUACAGAUUAAAUAUAAUCCUGAUCAAAAUCCCGGCUUCCUUUUUUUGGGGGGAGGAAAAAUUGACAAACUGAUCCUAAAAUUUCUGUGGAUACACCAGGGAUCGAGAAUACCCAAAAUAAUACUGAAAAAGAAGAGCAAAGUUGAAGGACUUAUGCUUUUCUGAUUUUAAAAUGACUUCAAAGCCACAGAAAUCAAGACAGUGUAGUACUGGCAUAAGGGUAGACACAUAUAUCAAUUGCACAGAACUGAAAGUCCAAAAAUAAACCCUUAUGUUUAAGGGCAAUUGAUUUCAAUAAGGGUGCCAAGAAAAUUAAGUUAUGGAAUACAACUUUUCAAUAAAUAGUGUUGGGUAACUUGCUCUCCACAAGCAGAGAAAUAAAGCUUGAUCCCUCUUCUCACCAUAAACAAAAAUAAAGCAGAUCACAGACUUAUAUGGAAGAGCUAAAACUAUACAUUUUAAAAGUACAUGGAAGUAAUUAUUUUGACUUUGGAUUAGGUAAUGGUGUCUCAGACAUGAAAAUAAAACUACGAGCAACACCAAAAGAACUCAUAAAUUGGACUUCAUGUAAAUUUAAAACAUUUGUUCUACAAAAUAUACCAUCAAUAAAAUAAAAAUACAGCAUACAGAAUGGGAGAAACUAUUUGUAAAUUAUAUAUCCAAUAAGGGACUUGUAUCUAUAAUACACAAAAAAGGCAAAUAACCCAAGUGAAAGAAUAGGGGGAAAAAGAUUAGUAUAGACGUUUCUCCAAAGAAGAUAUGCAAAUAAUCAAUAAUCACCUGAAAGGUUCUCAA